UCAUGUCCCGGGGACGGUGAGAUUCCGUACCGGCGGUCACAGCCCGCGACCCGGUGGCUGAAUUCGUUCAGUCGCCGGCUGAUCUGGUGGAACUCCAGAGCCGACAGUCAAAGUCUGGAUGGGAGGGAGCAUGG
rnacentral:ncRNA from 1 species